UGGGGAAUUUUGGACAAUGGGCGAAAGCCUGAUCCAGCAAUGCCGCGUGUGUGAAGAAGGCCUUCGGGUUGUAAAGCACUUUUGUCCGGAAAGAAAUCCUUGGCUCUAAUACAGUCGGGGGAUGACGGUACCGGAAGAAUAAGCGCCGGCUAACUACGUGCCAGCAGCCGCGGUAAUACGUAGGGUGCAAGCGUUAAUCGGAAUUACUGGGCGUAAAGCGUGCGCAGGCGGUUUGCUAAGACCGAUGUGAAAUCCCCGGGCUCAACCUGGGAACUGCAUUGGUGACUGGCAGGCUAGAGUAUGGCAGGAGGGGGGUAGAAUUCCACGUGUAGCAGUGAAAUGCGUAGAGAUGUGGAGGAAUACCGAUGGCGAAGGCAGCCCCCUGGGCCAAUACUGACGCUCAUGCACGAAAAGCGUGGGGGAGCAAAACAGGAUUAGAUACCCCUGGUAGUCCACGCCCUAAACGAUGUCAACUAGUUGUUGGGGAUUCAUUUCCUUAGUAACGUAGCAACGCGUGAAGUUGACCGCCUGGGGAGUACGGUCG
rnacentral:rRNA from 1 species